AGUUGAUGCUCUCCAAACAGCUCUUCAGGAUUCAACACGCUCCACUUCUACUCAAUUUAUGUCUCAUGUUAAACCAGAUUUGAAUGAGUAUCCAAAACCUGAAGAUUAAUUAAUAUUCGCUUCACUUUCAGGAUUAAUAUUAUUCAUACUCUCUCUAUCUAAUCUCUAAUAUCCAUCCAUCAAUCAACCAAAUAUUUUGUUAUGAUGGGGAUUCUAUUGUAACUUGCAAUUUCCGCUACUAUAUUAUUACUAUUUAUUAUCUUCUUUUGUUACAAUUGUUAACAGAGCAUAUAUACAUAGGAAGAGUUAAUAGACCCUAGCUUGUCAUAAAUCAGUGUAACCUACUUUUAAUUAUGGUGAAGCAAUAAGUCUUAAUUUAAAGUGAUGGUCAUUUUGAUUAAUUUCUUAAAAAUUUAUUACUAACCGCCAUCAAUUUAAUUCUCAACUUGUAUAUGAAUUAGUACAAGCUAAGUCUGGUGUUUCCGAUUUGUAACAUCGGGUCAUUUUUGGCUGGACCUAAAUGAAUGAUGAUCGAAUCAAAAUAACCAUCUUUUGUUGAUUGAUAUUUUUUCUAACUUAAUUUGUGUCGUGUGUGUAUGUAUAUAAG
rnacentral:lncRNA from 1 species